GACAGAGGGUGCAAACGUUGUUCGGAAUUACUGGGCGUAAAGCGCGUGUAGGCGGCUCUGCAAGUCGGGUGUGAAAUCCCACGGCCCAACCAUGGAAGUGCACUCGAAACUGCAGGGCUAGAGUCCUGGAGAGGAAGGUGGAAUGCUUGGUGUAGAGGUGAAAUGCGCAGAUAUCAGGAGGAACACCAGCGGCGAAGGCGGCGCUCUGGGCCGGAACUGACGCUCAGGAGCGAAAGCGUGGGUAGCAAACAGG
rnacentral:rRNA from 1 species